rnacentral:rRNA from 1 species
AUUGAACGCUGGCGGCGUGCCUAACACAUGCAAGUCGAGCGAUUCUCUUCGGAGAAGAGCGGCGGACGGGUGAGUAACGCGUGGGUAACCUGCCCUGUACACACGGAUAACAUACCGAAAGGUAUGCUACUACGGGAUAACAUCAGAAAUCCGCAUGAUUUUCUUAUCAAAGCUCCGGCGGUACAGGAUGGACCCGCGUCUGAUUAGCUAGCUGGUGAGGUAACGGCUCAACAAGGCAACGAUCAGUAGCCGACCUGAGAGGGUGAUCGGACACAUUGGGACUGAGACACGGUCCAAACUCGUACGGGAGGCAGCAGCGGGGAAGAUUGCACAAUGGGCGAAAGCCUGAUGCAGCAACGCCGCGUGAGCGAUGAAGGCCUUCGGGUCGUAAAGCUCUGUCCUCAAGGAAGAUAAUGACGGUACUUGAGGAGGAAGCCCCGGCUAACUACGUGCCAGCAGCCGCGGUAAUAC